UGUGGGAGCUGGCUUGCCUGCGAUGGCGGUGGACCUGUUGGCAUCUUGGUUAACUGACCCACCGCUAUCGCAGGCAAGCCAGCUCCCACA
rnacentral:misc_RNA from 1 species